rnacentral:rRNA from 1 species
UCCUACGGGAGGCAGCAGUGGGGAAUCUUCCGCAAUGGACGAAAGUCUGACGGAGCAACGCCGCGUGAGUGAUGAAGGUCUUCGGAUUGUAAAGCUCUGUUAAUCGGGACGAAAGAGUUCUGUGUGAAUAAUGCAGAAAAGUGACGGUACCGGAAUAGAAAGCCACGGCUAACUACGUGCCAGCAGCCGCGGUAAUACGUAGGUGGCAAGCGUUGUCCGGAAUUAUUGGGCGUAAAGCGCGCGCAGGCGGCCUAUCCAGUCUGUCUUAAAAGUUCGGGGCUCAACCCCGUGAUGGGAUGGAAACUAGUAGGCUAGAGUAUCGGAGAGGAAAGCGGAAUUCCUAGUGUAGCGGUGAAAUGCGUAGAUAUUAGGAAGAACACCAGUGGCGAAGGCGGCUUUCUGGACGAAAACUGACGCUGAGGCGCGAAAGCCAGGGGAGCGAACGGGAUUAGAUACCCCGGUAGUCCUGGCCGUAAACGAUGGGUACUAGGUGUAGGAGGUAUCGACCCCUUCUG